rnacentral:rRNA from 1 species
UUAAAGCGGUACGUGAGCUGGGUUCAGACCGUCGUGAGACAGGUCGGUCCCUAUCCGGUGUGGCUGUUGGACGCUUGAGGAGGUCUCUCCCUAGUACGAGAGGAUUGGGAAGGACGAAGCUCUGGUGCACCAGUUGUCUCGCUAGAGGCACAGCUGGGUAGCUAACUUCGGAACGGAUAAGCGCUGAAAGCAUCUAAGCGCGAAGCCUUCUCCAAAACAAGGCGUCCCCAUCAGGGUCCUGGGAGACCACCAGGUUGAUAGGCGGUAGCUGUAAGCAUGGCAACAUGUUCAGGCGAGCCGUACUAAUAGCCCGAUCGGCUUGAUCCCCC